rnacentral:rRNA from 1 species
GGGCCCGCACAAGCGGUGGAGUAUGUGGUUUAAUUCGAUGCAACGCGAAGAACCUUACCAGGGUUUGACAUACACAGAAUCUUGUAGAGAUACGAGAGUGCCUUCGGGAAUUGUGAUACAGGUGCUGCAUGGCUGUCGUCAGCUCGUGUCGUGAGAUGUUGGGUUAAGUCCCGCAACGAGCGCAACCCUUGUCCUUAGUUACCAGCGGGUUAAGCCGGGAACUCUAAGGAUACUGCCAGUGACAAACUGGAGGAAGGCGGGGACGACGUCAAGUCAUCAUGGCCCUUACGACCAGGGCUACACACGUGCUACAAUGGUAGGUACAGAGGGCAGCUACACAGCGAUGUGAUGCGAAUCUCAAAAAGCCUAUCGUAGUCCAGAUUGGAGUCUGCAACUCGACUCCAUGAAGUAGGAAUCGCUAGUAAUCGCGGAUC